GGCCUCCCACUGUUGUGGCGUCUCCCGUUGCAGAGCACAGGCUCCGGACGCGCAGGCUCAGCGGCCAUGGCUCACGGGCCCAGCCACUCCGCAGCAUGUGGGCUCUUCCCGGACCGGGGCACGAACCCGUGUCCCCUGCAUCGGCAGGUGGACUCUCAACCACUGUGCCACCAGGGAAGCCCGAGAAUAACGUUCUUACUACCACGUGCCAGGUAUUGUUCCAAGCACCUUACGUGACAAACUCAUUGAAUUCUUCUCUCAGGUAGAAGAAGAGAGGCCAGGUCAUCUGGUAAACGUUGGCCUGUAACACAGUUCAUGGAAGGCUAUUUGGUGCCCAUUCAUCCCCAAGACAUCCACACAUGAGAAUUCACCAGUACAAAAAUGUUUAAGACUUAUUUGAGAAGGUAUCCAAAUGAUGAGUCCAUUUGCAGUUAGAGUUCUUCCUAAUUGGAAAGGUUCUUCCACACACCGUACCUUACUCAUGGCUCUACUUCAUGGUGCUUCAUACUGUCGUCUCCACAGGAUAUUUUUAGCUCCCCUACCAGAUUAUGCUUUUUCUU